rnacentral:rRNA from 1 species
UACGGAGGAUGCGAGCGUUAUCCGGAUUUAUUGGGUUUAAAGGGUGCGCAGGCGGUCUGUUAAGUCAGCGGUCAAAGCCCGGGGCUCAACCCCGGCCCGCCGUUGAAACUGGCAGUCUCGAGUUGGAGAGAAGUAUGCGGAAUGCGCGGUGUAGCGGUGAAAUGCAUAGAGAUCGGGAGGAACACCAGUGGCGAAGGCGGCCUGCUGGGCUUUAACUGACGCUGAAGCACGAAAGCGUGGGUAGCAAACAGG